rnacentral:lncRNA from 1 species
GCGAGUAUAAAACACAUAAUUCAUAAUCAAAAAUAAGUUUAAACGUCUAAAACCUUCAUUUAAAAUGAAAUUAUGACUAUUUGAAUAUAAUAAAAAUAUUGAAUAAAAUAUUUUAUUUUCUUAUAAAACAAUAUUUAUAGAGUUACCGGUAAAUAAUUUUUGUACCGUAAAAGCUAAAUAAAUUCAUACAUACUGUAAUACAGAUAACCAAAGUAUAAAAUUUAAUUUACAGUGACACGUGGGCCCACAAACGACCAAAAGUAUCAAAAGCGGUAAAUAAAUAGUUUUUAAGGAUGCAAGUCUAACUGUAGCCCUCAACAAAGUGAGCUAUCUAUCGACUAUCCUGAGCCUGAAAUGGGUGAAAAUGAGGGUAGUGAGAUUAUAUAAUCCCAGUGAGUAAACAAAUACUAUUUAAAAUAUCCAAAGCUGAGUAAAUGGAGACAGAUAAAAUAGUUUAUCAUACUAUAAUUCAUCACCUUUCAACUCAUUUCAACCAAAUAAAAUCAAUUCAUAUAAAUCAAGUAAUCAACAUGGCUUAUGAAUUUCUUAAAACUUUGGCUCGUGCCAAAAUCAUUCUCAUACUCAGUUAUUAGGGAUACUUUGGCCAAGGGCUAUCCCAACCGAGUCCGCCAAGGCUAUUAAAAAGUUAUGUAUGCAUAAAUCAUGUUUUUAUUUUGAAAACAUAGCCGUUCCUUGGCGUUGGCUGAGUUCACCCUCACGUGGUGAUUUGGCGUGAAGUGAACUCUAAAGUGUUAGCCUCAGGAGUUAUCCAUCAACGCCUUUCAUACUGAGGUAUGAAUAUAAUAGGGUUACCGUGCCCCUUUUAAUAGGCUGGUCCACGAAACCCGUCCACUGCAGUGACUAAUCAAUAACCCACCAAUUCAAUAAAAUUCAAUAGCAUGACAUGGCAAUUUUAUUAUUAUCCAGCCUAUCAAGGCAAACAACAGUUUAUACAUUUUUGACACAAAUACCAAUUCAACCAUUCAUGCCAAUAUUAUCAUAAGCCAUUCAAUUCAAACCAUGAUUUAUAACACAACAAUUAGUCUCCAAUUACUCCAUUUUCAAAACCAUCUUUCAAUUUCAAGACAAUUUUAUAAAAUCAUUUCAUUUAAUCACAUGUUGUUUAUAAAACAUAAAGAUUUACUAUUUAAACUUAUUUUUCAUAAAAUCACAAAAUUAGAUAAAAACCACUUUAGAUAAUUAAGACGAUAGUAAGGUUACUCACUAUUUUGGGAGUCGAAUUUCGAGUACUCCGAUUCUUGAUCCUCGGGUACUAUCUCUUUACUUUUGCCAGAAUGCUCACCACCUCGACAUAAUGCACAAUAAGCCAUUUACUACAUUUGUGCU